AGCCUGUGAUGGUUUCAGUAUAAAGAGUAGUGGACAGAAGUGAUUUCUGAAAACUCUGUGUGUGCUGAGGCU
rnacentral:snoRNA from 1 species